AAGUCCGGGCUCCGCAGAGCAGGAUAACGGCUAACGGCCGCCGAGGGUGACCUUAAGGGAAAGUGCAACAGAGAUAUACCGCCCGGCUUUUGCCGGGUAAGGGUGGAAAGGCGAGGUAAGAGCUCACCGGCACGGUGGAGACAUUCGUGCCCUGUAAACCCUAUCCGGAGCAACACCGACCAAAGUGGCUUGCUCGGCCAAAACUUUAACGGGUGGCGUGAGCAGAGGAGCAAUCCUUUGCCAAGACAGAUGAUCGCCUUGAACGACAGAACCCGGCUUACAGUCCGGCUCG
rnacentral:RNase_P_RNA from 1 species